GACUUUUGGACAAUGGGGGCAACCCUGAUCCAGCCAUACCGCGUGUGCGAUGAAGGCCUUCGGGUUGUAAAGCACUUUUGGCAGGGAAGAAAAGGCUCUGGCUAAUACCUGGAGCUGCUGCAGGUACCUGCCGAAAAAGCACCGGCACACUACUUGCCCGCAGCCGCGGUAAUACGUAGGGUGCAAGCGGUCAGCGGAAUUACUGGGCGUAAAGCUGUCGCAGGCGGUUCGGCAAGAAGGAUGGGAAAUCCCAGGGCUUAACCUUGGAACUGCAUUCUUAACUGCCGGGCUAGAGGAUGUCAGAGGGGGGUAGAAUUCCGCGUGUAGCAGUGAACUGCGUAGAGAUGCGGAGGAAUACCGAUGGCGAAGGCAGCCCCCUGGGAUAAUACUGACGCUCAUGCACGAAAGCGUGGGGAGCAAAC
rnacentral:rRNA from 1 species